GGUUCCUUAGAUCGUACAUGCUACAUGGAUAACUGUAGUAAUUCUAGAGCUAAUACAUGCCACUAUGCCCUGACCCGAAAGGGAACGGGUGGAUUUAUUAGAACAGAACCAACCGGGAAUGGCUUCGGUCGUUCCUGUUGCACUCUGUGAUGACUCUGGAUAACUUUACUGAUCGCAGUCGGCCUUGUGUCGGCGACGGAUCUUUCAAAUGUCUGCCCUAUCAACUUUCGAUGGUAGGUGAUCUGCCUACCAUGGUGAUAACGGGUAACGGGGAAUCAGGGUUCGAUUCCGGAGAGGGAGCCUGAGAAACGGCUACCACAUCCAAGGAAGGCAGCAGGCGCGAAAAUUACCCACUCCCGGCACGGGGAGGUAGUGACGAAAAAUACGAAUACGGGACUCACUCGAGGCUCCGUAAUUCGAAUGAGUACAAUCUAAAUCCUUUAACGAGGACCAAUUGGAGGGCAAGUCUGGUGCCAGCAGCCGCGGUAACUCCAGCUCCAAAAGCGUAUAUUAAAGUUGCUGCAGUUAAAAAGCUCGUAGUUGGAUCUGGGUCGCGCGAUUACGUGUCGUUGCGUGGUUCUGGCUUCGGUCAGUUCUAUGUGAUGAUGAGGUGGUCGUGCAGCCUUUCAGCCGUGUCUGCGUGAGCAGGUGUUGGCUAGUCGGUGGGCUUGCUCGCUGGCUAGUUGGCAUGUUUC
rnacentral:rRNA from 1 species